ensembl:lncRNA
GGUCCUCAAACAGGCCCUGUCCCACAGAGGCAGACACCCUUGCCUGCCUGUAGAGGAUCAAGGCACCCAGUAAAUGCAGGCUGAAAAGUAGCCUGAGGGCUUGCUGUUAGGUGGGGUCAGUCCCUAUGGUGGGUUGCCUGUGCUGGCUGAACUGGAUUAAAUCUGUGCUCUAGUGUGCAUUGCAGACCCCUGGCUAACAGGCCAAGGGAUGAACCUCAAUGGUGCCCACUGGGGCCUGUGUCAGCACACCCCUGGACCAGUUCACAACAAUGGCCCCCACCAAGGUCUCAGUCUCCGGAGAGGGCCACCCUCUCGCCAAGAUGCCCCCAGAACCCAUCAGGACCGGGUGAUCCAUGUGGGGAAGGAUGUUGAUAAUGAAGGCUGUGCUCUGGGGCAUCUGAACAGGCUCCCUCCCCGUGAGGCCAGGGGAGUAGGAGAAGGGACAGGGUGUGACUGGACCCUCACCCCACUGCUGUCUCCCUGCGCCCUCCAGUGACCCUUGAGGUGACUUCAUAGCAACUAGAGGUCUCCAGAGAUGGGAUUUGAAAGCCUUUUGUUGAGUCCAUCUCCAACUUUUCACAACUGAAGACACUGAGGAUUGGAAUUCAUGAAUGAUUUGAGCAAGAAGAUCAUACAACGAUCCAUUCCUGGGAUUUUUGUUCCCCAGCCCUCAGCUAAAGAUGGUGGCUGGAAACUUCUUCAAGACAUUUUCUCCCGGUUCACUUCAUAUCUUAAUCAUCUUCUUCUAGAAAUAUUCUCAGUUUUCCAUGAAAUUACCAGUCCUUUAGGGAAAUCAGUGUUCACAGGCAAGAACAUUGGCAGACCACAGGUUGUUGCAACAUCUGUACAUUCUUGACCAGUAUUAUAUUUAUUGUCAUUGUUGUUAUCAUUUGGAGGGAUGGAGGUUGUGUGUGUGUGUUUUCAGAGUCAUGAAGGGUCUUGGCAUUUAAUUCUUUUUAAGAUCCAGAGGUUGGAAUUGUAUAGUUGAGGAGACAUUUGGAUUUUAACAACUCCUUUUAGAAUGAAGUAUGAAGUAAUAUCCUAUUUAUAUCCAAGGUGAAUGCCAAAUUACAGUAUGAUGUCAUAUGUUGAAUUCCCUUAAUGAUCAGACAGGCAUGCAGCUUCCUUCAUGCACAGCUAACCCAGAGAUAAUGCAUGAACUGGAACUUCUUCAGCCCCUAGUGAUGCAGCUACAUGAUCCUGCCUUGACUUAGGUCAGGAAUGUCUGGCACAGACUGAGGGACUGGCAAGACCUCUGAUUUUGCUUGCUAUCACUUCAGCCUUGUAGGGGAGGGAAAGGUUUUCCCUUGACUCUGUUAGGGUCCCUGACUGGGUCUGAAAAAUUAAACUGACACAGACAGAUUUACAGGAGAAAAGCAGACACAUUUAUUUAAUAUAAGUUUUAUGUGACACAGGAGACUUCAUAAGGAAACAAAGACCCAAAGAAACACUUGGACCUGUGUAUUUUCAUGCACAUUUGAUGAAGGGUGGAUAGACGUGGAGGAUUACGAUAGGUUAAAGAGGAUGAGGUAAUUGCAGUAAAAUGUACCUAUUUGUUGGGAUUGUUCUUGAUGUCUCUGCUCCUUUCCUCCUGGUAUAGCCAGAUUGCCUCUCAAAUGAGGAUUUUAUGACCUGUUUCAGGGAAGAAUGGCCUUGAGGGGAGAAGGUCAGAGUGAUCUUCCCGCCACGGUAUUCUAUUUUGGGACAAUGUGUCCAGAAACCCAUCAGCCUCCUCUUCCUUCUUCGAUUCUCCUUCUUCUAAACAUGUUGCCCAGAUGGGGCUAUGACUAGAACUCUGAGGGAAUGUUCUGGCACUGAACUGGGAGGGUAGUGGAAGUAUUCUUCAUUCCAUGGAAAUCUUAAAGGGCUUCUCUGUUAUAUACAUUGAAUUUAAUAGUGAUUACUGAUAGGUGGGGGGGGGGGACAUUCCUCUCAACAGUUAUUGUAUUUAAUUGCAUUAGAAAAUACUGUAAGCUAGGUAGCCACCUGUUGCAUGGAUAAGGAAUAUAAGUGGUUAUUAGAUCAUCUUUAGUUUCCAUCCCUCAUUGAGAUCCCAAGCGUCUACCUUGGGCUUUUGGUGACUCACUAGAAGCAUUUAAA